GCCAGCCUGGUCAGAAUGGACAAAGGCAGCACAUCUCAGAAUCUUGUUACGACAAUACGAGGCAAAUGUGAAUGGAGUAAUACUACAUCGUUAUGUGUAAGAUAAGACGUUAACAUGACAAGGGUGAGAUGAAAGAUACUAAGGGCUAGCCAGACUAGAAUAAAAGUUAACUAGGCCUACCACGAAAAGUUCAUUCAUAAACGUUUUGACGGUCUUUCGAAUGGUUAUCGGAUGGUGUGCUUGCUUGCUUAAAUAUCAUAAAGUUCGCCACAAAGUGAUCACGAAAUGAUCUCCGUAUUAAUAACAGUUUCGUGGUUUGUUACUCGUUUGAAUAAACGUAUAGUUUUGACAUCCCUUUCAAAUGACACGCGGAAGUUUUGAAUAUUUGUUGUACCACGAGCUAUCACGAAAUUAUGCUGGGCCAAAAGGUGUUUAUACAGUAGUUUCUUCCUGUGCUGCGUUGUGCACGUCUGUUUCAUCAUCUGAGCUAUCAGUUGUGUUUCUUUGAAGCAAAGAUGUAUAGAAUAGCACUGAAAGUCGGAGGUGUCAUAUUUGUUCAACCUGGUGUUAAACGUAAUUUCAAUUCUUGACCAGUGCAUGUAAAGAAAUUGAAAAUAAAACCGACUUGACUUGUCAUUGGGUCUGAUUUUAAAUGUGCCAUAUAGUUCAAUGUGGGAGCAGGUUCACACACUAAAUAAGACACUAAGGUCAAGCACAAGCAGAUUAAAAAAAAAAAAAUCCAGGGCAGAUUAGAGCAGACGUUUCAGGUUGCUGCCAUCAGAGAGUAUUGACUUGACCUUAGUGUCUUUAGUGUGCUCCCACAUUGAGCUCUACUUUUUGGGUCCAUGCACCUACUUAUUUCUAAACAUCUAGAGCGCAACAAUACCCCUGCCUCCUGAUGUGCCAUAUAACCUGUAUCUCUCCAAGUGUGUGUGUGUGAGAGAGAGAGAAUGUGUGCACGCAGAUAUAAGAAGUUGGGGUUGAUGAUCCACAUGAUGGUGAUGGACCAGGACAGCUCUGGACCUCCUGACUGGCAGCUCCAUCCUCAACCUCUCUUCCUGCCCUUCACACAUGUGCAGGCAGCCAGUUUUCUGAAAGAUGGUUGAUGUCAGUACCAACAUGUUGUGAUGGAGGCUUCCACCUGAGCUGAACACAGAAACUUGCACACAGUGUUGGAAGCAGUCGUUCCUGCUCAGCAUCGAUAUGCCAGUAAUGGGUUUGAUGAGCCACAGCAUGGUGAUGGGCAAUCAGCAUCAGGACCAGGGCAGCUCACAAGGAGAACCUCCUGCCCUGCCUCGUCAUCCUCAACCUCCCAUCUCCCUGCUCUUCACACAUGUGCAGGCACGGAGCCAGUUUUCAGAGGGAGGGCUGAUGACACCAGCAACUUUGGUGAACCUGAUCAACCCAGCACCAACCACUGUGCCCCUCCUCCUCUGCCAACUGCACCACAUGGCUCCACCAUCUCAAAAAGGCACAGACACUACUCCUACUACUUCCUGCGAAGGAUGAGAGAAGAGCCGACCGCCCCACAUCGGCACUCACCACCUUCUACAGGGGUGUCAUUGAGAGCAUCCUGACCAGCAGCCUCUCUGUCUGGCAGCCGUCAAGCUGAAGACUAGAAGGCAGUACAGAGAGUGUGGUGAGAACGGCAGAAAAGCUCAUAAGAUCACCCCUACCAGCCAUUCAGGAUCUGUACACUUCACACUGUUCCAAGAGGGCAAUGAACAUCAUAAAGACACAACUCAUCCAGCAUACAGACUGUUCUCCCUACUAC